GCCUACGGCCAUGCCACGCCGAACAAACCUGAUGUCUGUUCUCAGAAGCUAAGUAGGGUCAGGCCUGGUUAGUACUUGGAUGGGAGACCAUCUAGGGAGACCAGGUGCCAUAGGCA
rnacentral:rRNA from 1 species